UCAACCCUGUGAUGAAAUACCUAAGACAAACAACUUAAAGAAGGAAGAGCUUAUUUUGGCUCAUUAUUUCAGAAGUUUCAGCCCAUGGUCAGCUUGUUCCAUUGCUUUUAGGCCUCUAGCAAGGCAGAAGCUUCAUGCAGGAAGGGUAUGACAGCAUUGUUCACAUAAUGGCCCCAUCCUAGGGCAGCAUCUCUGCUUGUGGCAUUUUUGUAGCUUUUGAACAAAAUCCUUGGGGUGGCCAAUGUAAGACUCAUCACAAGUGCAUUGGGUUGCAAACUUAAUCUAUCUAGGUGGCCAGGCUGUUCUUGAAAUACACAGCUGAUGGCUGUGACAGACCAGAGAGGCCUGUCUUCUCAAGCCCUGCCAUGAACGACUCUGGGAGAAAAUGAGCAUUGCUAGACUUUCAGAAAUGUCAAGAGAAGCAUCAAGACCGAGCUUGACGUGCACUCAUCUGGUUUUAAUACCAGCAACCAAUAUCCUAAAACAUACUCAGCAAUACUGCAGCCCAAACCAAAUGCAGGAGAGCUAUUUCCCAAGGGUGGCGCUCUCAUUUUUGCUGUGACGCUAGAUUCGGUGCCUGAUCCAGGGCUGGGUCCCUCUUUCCACGUCAGAGGGGACCCACCUGCACUAGUGACACCUUUCUGGGUGUGCAGGAAAACAGCCAAGUGUUAAAUAAACAUCCACUAAUUAUCCUGAGAAUAUUUAUUGAGGUUUCCCCACAUUGUAGUAAGAAAUUAUUGAAACACAUAUCAUCUACAGAGCUGUUAAUCACUGGUAAAUAUAUUUUAAAUACAGCAGUCUAUUAGUAUUUUAAUUUAGCCUGUCUCCUAGAGAAUAUGUACUGGAUCAGACAAAUGUCCCAAGCUUCAGAGCCAAGGGAAAAAUUUCCUCACCUAGUUAAUCUUUAUGUUCUUCUCUCAGGGAGGAAAUUCCUGCAGUACCACAAGAGAAAUAUUCCUCCUGGCUGUAUUGAUGGCAAGUCCUUGGGGAGGUCUCUGAGGCGAGGCAAGGAGACCACAGCUCUGGAGAGGUCAGAGAGCACAGGACCAGGGCAGGGCGAGGAGUUAGGGUUGCUAUUAGCUUGGUCACUUUCUUGCCAGUUUACUUAAGUGCAAAAUUGUGCAACUCAAAAGCAGUAACUGAUUUACUCAACCUCACUGAGCGCGGUGGACUUGUCCAACUUGAGCGCUCUGCACGGAAUUGUUCAUCUCCCCUCUCUGCAGCCGGACUUCCGGUCUAGGUAUUGAUUCAGACUUCCUGCUUCACAUGUGCCUUUACGUCAGCUGGGGCCGCUCAGUAGGGCCAGACACAGUGACGGGCUGAGAAAUUUCUUGCUAGCCUCUGCCUUGUAGGCUACUGUGUGGGCUUUGUGGAACCUUCUCGUCUAAGCUGUGUGUUCAUUGGACAGACCCAGUGCAGCACAGGAUACUUACCAGCUGUAGCAGGCAGGCCUGCUGUGCGCCGAGCUGUGUCCCGGGCACAUCCGGUUCAGGGCCCAGAGGCGGGCAGUUCGGGAAGCGUGGACGGCCGCGUGUCUGCUUCGCUGCCUCUUGGAGAGGCCUGACUCGGCGCAGGUGCCGCCAGGAGGUGGGGUUGGCGUCCCGUCCCCGUCCCCAGGGAGGACUUCGCCCCAGGGAGACAGGAGGCGGUGGUCAAGGCCUUGGGCCCCGGCGGGGCGGCGCGGUGAGCCACUCCAAGGGCGCUGGGCACAGCUCCUCGGAGAGACCCGGGCCGAGGCCCGCCUGCCCCGUGGUUCUCGUCCGGUCAACAGCGUCCAUUUCACUUGCUUUUCCAUGUAGCUCUCCCCAUCCCUCACUGCUCCUUUCUCAAAAACAGCUCUCAAACUCCCUGCACUCGAGUCUCUGCCUCAGGCUCUGCUUUUGGAGGUCCCCCCCUCAGGGCGGACUCUUUCCUACUCCGGGUGCUCACUGACCAGGACAGGGGCAGAUUUCCCAAGAGGAAUGUGAGGGAGGAGAAUGGAGGAGGGCUGGGAAUCCUGAGAGAAAAAGGAAGAAGGUUGGGUUCUCCUAAGUGCACACAAACAAGCUACCCAAGGGCAAACGCCAACACUCAAAUGCUUAGGAAGGAGUUCACCAGCUCUUUUUUCAUCUUUCUGUUCCCUUCUGUGUGCUGUGAGGUCAUAGGCAGUCUUCACAGGAGCUUUUUUGUCCCCAGCAUGGCCCUAGCUGAGACGUUGUCUUCUGAUACCUGGUUGCUUGGCGAUCCAGCGAUGUAUUUCUUGAAGCACGGUGUGUGCGGUUGAAGUCCACCUGCAAUGCUGCCCCUGCUCAGGAGGCGUCCCUGAUGCCUUCCUGAAGUCACCGCCUCCCAGAAGUUUCUGUCUCAGCUCUCUGCACAGCAGUGCUGUGAAGUGAAGAGCUGAGAGGGUCAGGGGCAUAACCAGUGUGCACUCACUCCUUACCGUGCAGGGGAAUGUUGCUGCAUAUGUUUCCUGUUCAGUCUCAGGCUGGAAGGGCAGUGGCUGAGACAUAGUCUCAAGAAAGAGAUUGGACAGUCCCAGAAGGGAGAGCAGGAAUGGACAGCCCUGACUCUGAAUUCUGAAACCAUCCCUUCCACUCACACCUUAUUAGACCAAGCAAGUCCUAUGUCCAAGCCUCUAAUAUCAGGGUGCUAGGAAGCACGGCCUUCUCACGAGAAAUAUGCCGGCACACCUGUAAACAGAUACACGCGAAACAUCCAUCACAUAUUAGGUUCCAGAGCAGGUGGUAUAUUCUUUCCUUGUGGGAUUUACAAUUUCCUCCAUUGUCUGGAUGCCAAUUACAUGCAGCUUUAUCUCCCAGCCACACUGUGAGUUUCUUCAGGGCAGAAUCCAUGUAAAACAGCUCUCAGUACCUCCCCACCAAUUAACUCAGAAAAGGGAUAUUGCACAUAGUAAUAUAUGAUCAGAUUCUGGGGACAUUUUGAAGGUAGAGCAGGAAGAAUUUGCCGACCGAUUGGAUAUAUGCUGUGUAAGAGAAAGAGAGAGAAGGUGAUGUUGGAUUUGACCGGAGCAAUUCAGGGAAUUCAGGUGCCCUGUACACACGUGGGGAAACUGUGGGAGGAACUGACACUCAGGAAAUGGAAGAUAAUUAAUAGCUAUUUUAUUGCUUCCAGAAGUGUGGAAUGCUCAAUAUUUAUGAGUGGAAGAUGAGAUGUUCAGGUGAGACAGAGACCCGAGAACAUUUAAUGUUGAAUCCGAGCUAGAAAGUGAUUUGUCUUUCAGUUCUUUAUUGGCUCUUUUGAUUAGUUAAAAGCAGUCUCAGUUUGGUGCUGGUGGGUCUUUAAACAUUUGCUGAUUUCCCUUUUUAGAAAAGAGAUGUCAUGCUGAAGGCUUAGGGAAUGGGCUGGCAGCUAUCUCUAGCUAGGCUUAAUAAUAGCGUUUUCUUUUCAUUGUGUUUCUUUUUCUGGGUAACUUCUUCUUAUGACUUCGGGUGCUGGCUCGUUUAUAGGCUAGCUAUGUAUUUCCCCUUAAAAUGAAUUUAUUUAUGUUAAAAGGGAAUCGGUUUACAAAUAGAUGUUUAAGUAAACCCAUGUGUCCAUUUAUUUAGGAAGUAUUUGGGUACUAGAGAUACAGGUAGGAUCACAGGCUUCUUGGAGCUCUCAGUCCAGCGGGGAGGUGACUGACAGACAAAGAGAACAGGUGAAAUGGGAAGCAUUUUAGGUCGUGGUAAGGCCUAUGGAAUAAAUGAAGCAGAAAAGAGGGAGUGGUUCUGGGGUGGGUGGGGGGUUGCAGUUUAAGUGGCAUGGGUGUCCAGGGACUGUGGGCGUGGAGAAGGUAGCAGUUAGAGAAAGGCCCGAAGAAGCUAGCCACACUGGCAUCCAGGGGGGAGUGUUCCUGGCUCAGAAAGGCAAGCAUGAAGUCCCUGGCAUGUGGGAGAAGGACAAGAGAAUGAGUCUGAGUAUGAGAGAUGCAAAGAGCAAGGAGGGAGGAGUGGAGCGUCCUGGCGACGGGGAGGAAGGUGGAAGACCAUGCAGGACCCGUGCGGCGCUGUCCGAAGCUCAGCUCUGCCGCAGUGACUUGGGGAGUCCUGGGGGAUUCUGAAGGGGCAAGCCGCACGAUCUGCCUUCCAGUUGAAAGGGCCCCUGCGGUUGCUGUGUCUGGAACAGGCCCAAAGUGGGGCUGCCCUGCAGAAUGCAGAGGGCUCAGCCAGGAGAGCCUCGAGGAGUUCCGUGCCGUCCAGGUGACUGAGAGGCCUGGUAGCCGGCAAGCCAACACUGUGGCUGUGGGAUAUUUGAGGCUGCGGUGUAGGGGAGGGUCCCGCCUGGGGACUCCAAUGCAGGUGCCAUCAGCAGGUAGAUGGAGUCAGAUGGUCACACACGAGAUGUGGCCGAGACAGAGCGGGAUCUCCUCUCCUCCCUGCUGCAGCUCACUGUGGCUCUUUGGUUGGUGGCUGAGGUCUGGGCCCAGCUACGGCAGGUGCAGGUGGUCAAGGUUAUCUUCCUAGUGACUCUGGGAAACACUCCAGUUUCUGGGAAACGGUGGCCCCAGAAGGGCAAAGAAGAUUUGCCUUGAAAACCUGUGCUUUCAGCCCAAGCACUGCGCAUGCCAAGCAUUACACAUCCAGCUUUUCAGACAGACCCGUCUUGUCAUUCUGGCUUCCUAGACCUUGCUUUUCUUCUCUGCAGAGUUCAUAUUUUCACUGGGAAACAGUUGUCUGAAGCCUGAACUGUAUAUGUCAAAACAUCCUGUUAGGGUUUUCUGAGGUUUCUGAUGUUGGACAAUUCAGGGCAUUAGAUUUCCACAUCAGAGAAGGGAAUUUUCUUCCUGUCAUUAUGAUAUCACUGUAGAUGGGUCUCCACUGCUCUGGGUCAGGGGCCAAAGCAAGAUAGAAGCCUUAGAUGCGCAGAAAGUGAAACCAGCUCAGCUUGAGAAUUGGGAGGAGAAUUUAAAAUAAUAAUAACCACCAUCAAGUGGACGCUUAUGUUUGCUGGUUUCUGUUUUGUGGUGGAUGCUACUGGUGACCUAAUAGGAGUCCUACCCAUCCUCCAGCUGCCAUGGGCUACCUUCUGAAGGUAGUUCUGAGCCGCCUUCUGGCUGAAUAAGCUACCUUUCCCACCUUAAUGGGAGCCUCCUCCCCUGCCUGAAUAGGAACCACCUCCUCUGGCCAAACAGGGCUGCCUCACCUGGCUGAAUAGGGGCCAUCUCACCUGCCCACGAGACAGGGGUCAGUCAGCAGCCGAUACCAUAGCUGAUGCAGUGUGGCCUCCUGGCUUCCAUGUGGGACCAGCUCUGUGGUUCAGGGUGUGGUCUGGAGCUUCCUCAGGAUCAGGCUGAAGGCAGCCCUGGGCUGAGACCACAUCCCUGCCUUUCUUCCAUCUUUCAUCCCGUUCUGCUUCCCUCACUGUCCUCUUCCCUGGAGCUCUCUGCAUCUCAGAAUCCAGUCUCAGGCUUGCUGUCUAGGGCGCUCCGCUUCACUGUCUGAUGUAUUAAGGGUGAUACGAUCCUCUCAGUGAGCCUCUGACACAGAAUAACGACAAUGUAAUGAUAGGAACACUGCUAACAACAGCACUGAUUCUCCUCUGCAGACUCAGGGAGGUAAGUGAGCAGCCCAGGGCCAAAUCCAGCAUUUGCUCUGAAGUUCUUGUUCGAACAAUAUGACUCCUGACCUUUCCAUGCAGGUGGUCACAGGUAUUUGCAAGUUCAAAUGUUUUCUGCUUUUCUCUUCUUUGGGGGCCAAUCAUGGACUUGGUAAACAGUACUGACCGGUAGGCCAGGGAGCAGCCACCUGCAGUGACCAUGGGCAGAGGGAUAAAGGACACCUGGACACUGGGGAGACAGAGCGAGGUGUUUAUUCAUCAAAUGGAGAUCCACAUCAAAUGCUGGGAGGAAGAAGUAGCUCUUCCUGGAAAAUCUGAAGACCUCUGCCAUGGGAUACAGCAGGGAAUUUCAGCUGUUUGUAAGUCUCUCAUGUUCUCUUGAGCUCCUGCUCUGGAUUUGCUGGCAGAGGCUUUCUGUGCAGGGUUUCCGUAGCCUAGUGUUCAGGAGACAUCAAUACCUGUCUAGGCCCUACCACUAACUACCAAUGUCUCCUUGCUAACUGAAGCCAUUUCCUCACCUGUAAAAUGGGAGAAAAUACUUCUACCCCAUCUUCUUAAAAUCACUGUAAGUACAUGAAAACCUGCAACAGGCUGUGCCCGGAGAGAGAGAGUGGAUUUAGGCUGCUUGUUGGAUUGCGGAGUGAGGGCAGGGUCUGGGUUCCCUGGAUGAUACCCAAGUGUACUGAGGGCUUCCGCCCCCUGGCGGAUCGGCUCUGCACUCAAACUGGAGGAGGAACUCCAGGCGCGUCUUUAAGGCGAACACCCACACCCUACCAACCACGGUGGGAAGGCAGCGAGAGAACAGUCCAUGGCUAGGGAGGAUCUGGGGGGCUUUGGUUGACAGUAAAGUCAAUAGCAGCCAAAAAUGAUGACAGCAUUGUCCUUGCAGAAACACAAAUAUGAUUCUCCCCUUCUGGAAGAGGAGGGCAUGAUCUCAUUCUUCCUCAGUCGAGGGAGAUUGUAGUUGGAAAAUAAAAUUGUAACGAUGGGAACUUACAUUCAUCGACCACUUACAUCAUGUCCUGCACUGAGCUAAGUGUUUUAUAAGCAUUGUCCUCUUCAAUUCUCACAGCAUCUUAUGUUAGAGGAAAUAGUAUUUUUAAUACUACAGAGGGGGGAAUUGGGGCUUGGAUAGGUGGCUUUUCCCAGAACCCUACAAUGAGUAAGUUGACAUCCUUACCAAGAACAAAGUGUGUCUUGGUCUGAGGGCCGUGCUUCACUGUGGGUCUGGCCGUCACGUUCAUGGGUCGCUGUCAGACAGCAGAAAAUAUUAGAGCGCAUGGCAAAUAGUAGGGUGACUUCACACAACUUCCGUCCAGGUGAUGCUUGGGUGGUGAGGAUGUGUGCACACGUGUUUCUGUGUCUCGGAUCGUGAUGUUGUUCUUACUGUAAGUUAUAAUAUUUAAACAUUUGAAAGCAACUCUAUCAGCCUGAACUCUGCUUCUGUCUUUGGAUUUCUCACUUUGAGAGGGACAGAGCAGCGCACAGCAUGAGCAGGGGAGGAUGGGGGUGGGAAGAGUGGUGAGCAGAACAAGGUCUCCAGUCCUUCUCCCCUCAAGACUGGGAGCUUCCUCCAGGCUGCUGCUUCUCUGGCCUGCCAUUGGCGCUCAGCCUGCAGGACUGCGUAACUGGCAGGGCAGGCUGGCUGGCUGGCUGGCGUGCUAUCUGACUAAUUAGGCAAGGUCAGUGCAGGAGGUUUCCGAGGCCACAGCCCAUUGGGAGACUGUUUAGGUGGAGCUAGGAGAAGCUUCAAAUUUGGAAUUAGGCAGAAUGUGAGGGCAAUGCAAGAGGAGACUCUGCUUCCUGCUAUGCAGCCUUUGCCAGUGGCUGGACACUGAAGGACCCUGGGAAGUAUUUGUCAGAGGACCAGGUGUCCAUAGCCACUCUCUUCUAUGCUUAAAUGCCUUUUGGCUAAUUGCCUAACCUUUUUGAGCAGCAGUUUCCUCAUCUUUAGAAUGAGGAUAUGAGAUAUGACUACAUUUUCCCGAGGGUUGCUGGAGGAAUCAAAUGUGACAAAUUUGAAAGGAGCUAGCUGCACAUCAGGUGGCUCUUUUCCCGAAGAGGGACUGACGUUUUUGUCCUUCUCUCCUGAGGUCCUGAGGUUCUUGGUUUCUAGAGUCCUUCCAUGUGCCCAUCAUUGCUUCUGUGACUGCAGCUCCGGCUGGUGGGACCCCAUCUUCUAACAGGAGACUAGAGGAAGGGACUGGCGCCGCUUCAUGGCUUCUUCUGUCUGGAGGAUGCCCUUUGCAGACACAGUGCUGCCGGGCUCCACAGCCUCCAGGGCUGAGGCUGCAGGUGAGGCCCCUCCAUGCCUUCUGGGAAGCUGGCCACACCUUCUGACAUAGCCAGCACUGCUCAGAGCUCUCCAACUUUGUGCCGCUUUGGGGCAUUCUGGGCCAAUUACUACUUUCGAUGCACUCUAAUAUGUUCUGAUGUCUGACAAUGACCCAUGAACUUGAUUGCAGGACCCACAGUGAAUGAAGCAUGGUCCUCAGACUGAGAGACAUUUCAUUCUCGGUACUCAGUUCUUUGGUACCUAUAAUGGAAGGCAUUUUUCUAUGAGGACAUUUAUAUUCAUGUAUAUUAUAGAUGUAAUUUUAAGUGUGAUCCUUCUCUGCUCUUUUCUAAUGUGCUUUCCUGUAUUUAACUGUUUCUCAUGUGAGAAUGAAUGUGCUUUAGUCCUAACAUCUGCAUAGUAUUCCAUCACAUCCUGUUCACCUAAUUUCAUUAACCAAUUAAACUCCUGAUGGGCAUUUGUCUUAUUUCUAGUUAUUUUGCUCCCGAUGAGCAUGUUUACCUACUUGGGGGAUUAAUGCUUUGAGUCUUCUAUGGGAGAUGGGUUUUAUUUAGUGAGAGAUAUCUAGAUUUUGGAAACAUUGGGGAAUGGCUUGGCAGUGGGUUUCUUUGACUGUUGUAAGAGACAUUUUUCCAGGCCUGAGUGUUUCUGACUGCGGGCUCUGUGGAUGCACAGAGGGCUCAGAGUCAUCUUCCUCGCCGUGUGGAUUUUGGAUAGGGAUGGCCAGAGAGAGCGGUGAGUAAACCUGCUGUGCGUGAUGGGAAGGAACUAGAGAAGAUUUUGCAGGAACACCGGACCUGAGCUUCAGGUGGGUGGAAUUCUCCACGUGAAAAGGAAAGAGAAAGGCAUUCUGACAUAAGAAACAGAGCUUACAAAGCCUGGGAGGGAGGAGGGUGAGCCUGCCAUGUUUUGCAUUUGGCAAAUCCCGGCUUACAGGAGGGAGGGUCCAGCAGGAAGCUGCCAAAGGUGCGGAGGGAUAGCAGGGACCAUGCUGCAAAGCCUGUGCUUGGAGCGAGGAGGAGGAGUGAAAUGUCAGUGGAGGUCACGGGCUCUGGGGUCAAGGGGGGCGGGCGCUCCAGUCUUCAGCUCAUGGGUGCAAGGCCUUGUCAGCAGUGCCUUUGGUCCUGGCAGAGCGCACAGUAAGGGCUGGCCCUGGCUCUCCUCUGGCCGUGGGCCUCUGCAUGGGAUUCGGUCAGUGGGGUCAAGGGUCACCUACCCAGACCACAGGCUCUGUUUUUCCAACCACAUGAGCCAUGAAUCUCAUCCUAGUCUACGUCCAGGGCCUGCAAGAACCUCUUUCAUGAAUGUGUGCCCCUGAGGGUGCCAUUUCUGGGUGCAUUCCAACUUGAGCAGUGCCCCAGGGUUGGCUGCUUAUAGGAAAUACAGGCAAAGCAGGCUGGAUCCACACACCCAUGAGGAGGCGCUCCAGUGUAAGACAGAGCCAAGACGCAAGGAGGAGGGGGCCCCACUUGGCCCCACUUGGCCCCACUUGCCCAAGGCCCCAUAAAUGUCAAGGCCACUUAACUCUUUGCUUCUGAGUUUCCUCUUCUCUAAGGUGAGAUUCCUCAUAGACCCUGUGUCAUAGGGAUUUGGUGGAGAUUAAAUAAGAAUUCUAAUGUAAAGUGCUCAGUGUAAUGGCUAUGUGUAGUAGGUGCUCAGUAAAGGCUUAUUGUAGGGAAAGGGUUCUCAGGGAGGCUUUGGAGCUGGCAGUGCAUGCUGGAUGGGGGUGUGGGAUAUGAGGUAGCCUGGGGGUGGACAGCCACAGGCAGAGAGACCAGUAAGAGUGAGGCACAGCACUGAUGCAGAUGGGGGUGUGGGUAGUGGGGCUAUGAGGCCAUGGUGUCUCCAGGCAUCUGUGGUCACUGGAAUUGGGGCUGCACGACACUUUCCACUCGGUCAUUGCAACCAGCAUUUCCAUAACAUAAUCCUUGACUCCAGCAUGAGAGUGGCCAGGUGGUUCUGCUAAAUGCAGAUUCCCAGGCACCUAGCAGACACUGAAGUCAAAAUCUUGGUGAAUGGGAGCCAGAAGUGCUAAUAGAGCUUGGUACAUUUGUGAACUGGGGACCCAGUGAAAUAAAGAGCAGUUGCCAACUAAAGGUUGGGUUUUAAAAUCUGGAAUGACAUUGAAAGAAAAGACUAUUAUCUUGCUGGCAGGAAGAAACUAUUACUUAGUAUGUAUCAACUAUUUUGGAGGAAAUGUCUUUCCAAACAUGAAGCCAAAGGAGAAAAAGAAUAAGGAGUUGGUGAUAAAGGCUUUAGAAGCUACAGCUUAGAAGGAGGCUGUGUGUGUGUGUGUGUGUGUUUGUGUGUGUGUAUCUAAGAGAUUGCAAAUCGAUAUCCCAUUUCCCUUGGAGUUUACACAGCUGCCCACAGGGCGAUUCCUGACUCAAGGAUAAAUAGGGCUAUAUCAUUGUGCAAGGGAACAAUGAAUUUUCCAGAUGGGCCACAUAUCCUUUCCCUGGCCUUUCAGGAGCUAGUUCAGGCUCUCUGAGAAGCACACACACACAUCAAGCCCUCCCAAAGCCAGUUCCCCAGGUUGCGCGGGUUGGUGAGCGAUUGCGGGUGUGUGGGAGGAAGCCUCGUGACUGAGCUAGAUCCUCUGAACUCAGGCAAGGAUUACUGUGAUUGUUGCUGGAUUUUCUCACUGCUGGACUCUGGUUACAUUGAGGGAAAGGUCGUCUUGUAUUUCUCUCUGUCACACCUCCUGUGUCCAUCAGGAUUGCUCAGGUUGUGCUGCAGUCAUGAGGGCCGAGUGUGGGUCCUUGCUCACGCUACGGUGUCCCUCAUGGGCCAGGUGGGGCCGGGCCUGUGUCAUUCUCACUCUGGUACCCAGGCUAAAGAUGGAGCUGUCAGCAUCUGGGCCACUGCCAGUCACCAGGGAAGGGGGAAGGAUGUGUGGUAGACUUCACAGUGCAUCUUAAGAACUUCUGCCCGGACUCACAAAUGACUACUCACAUUUCAUGUGGCACCAUGUAAGUGAAAGAAGAUGCGAAGUUUCAUGAACUUAGUUUUUGGGAGGAGGAAACCAGAAAUAUUGGUCAACAGCAUGAACGACCUCCACACUAGUGUAACUAACUAGGGCUUGGACCUGUACAGGAAAUGAGUGGAAUGGGCUCAUCAGGAGUCCAGAGCUAUAGGAAUGAGUCACAUGAGCAGAUGCUUGGGGCUGGGGUAUCCAGGUGCUGCAUUGCUGUCUGGGCAUCCAUUUCUGUAUUUAAAAAAUAGAACACUUCCCCCUUUAACUUUGAGUUUUCCCUUUGUCUGUAAGCUAGGUAGGCAUUACCAACUGAGCUGCCAGUUUGAUCUCUAUGAUUUGAAUUCUGAAUGCCGUUCAAGGUCUUCCUGGGAAAUGCCUGGCACCAGACACAUGAAGUUGUAAUGGACAUCCUGAGUGGGCACAGCUGGAAAACCUGAGCAGCACUCGGGGAGCAGUCCUCCUACCCCAGCUGUUUGCAAUGCAAUACGCGCUCCGUCGGAAGGCGAGACUAGAGGAGCCCCAAGAGCAUGAGCUACCAGGCCUGAUGGGCUGAGUUCUCAUCUCACCCUCAGCACUUGCUGUGCGGCCUCGGCAGAUGACUCUUCUGCUCUUGGCUCCUUCCCUUAGGUUCAGUGUGGGCUGAUGAGUUCACCUGUGCAGUCCUGCAGCCUGACACCUGACAGCGAUCGAGUGCUCAGUGAUGCAUGUUUGCUGUGAGCCUGACUGUUACCAUUCCUUUCUGCAAGCAGAGACCCCAGUGCUCAAAGCUCAGUGUUUUCAUGCGUGAAACAGAAACACCAAGGCCUCAGCCCAUGUUUUCAAGUCCUGAGGUCGGCGGCAACGCCUAACACAAUGCUGAUUCGAAGUCGGGAGCCGAUCUUGGGCCAUUUCGCCUCCUGGUUCCUCAGCUCUCCCAUUGUACAAGCUCAGGAAAAUCACGAUAUUUGUCGGUGCCUCAGUUUCCUUAUCUGCUGGAUUGGAGCACUCCUGAGGCCCCCACAGUGCCCUGACUUUAUGGAUCCUUCUGUCUCCUUCCCUCACCUAAAGGACGAGACUCAGAAGCUCCAAGACCAGUGUGAGACAGAGACCAGUCUCUUGGGCAGAUCACAGACAGAACGGCGUGUUGCAGAUAAUUUCUUGCCUAAGUAAAGAAAUGUGGAAGUUAAUCCCCUCUUCUAGACCAUGUGUGUUGGAGGAAGUAUGAAAAAAGGAUGAAUA